rnacentral:sRNA from 1 species
UCAUAAACAUGAAAAGAGAGUCAUGCAAGAACAUGACCCUCAAAUGUAAGCCCCAUUUAAGGUGGCAGCUAGUCUAAUAUGGUAUAAAA